UACAGAGGUCUCAAGCGUUGUUCGGAUUCAUUGGGCGUAAAGGGUGCGUAGGCGGCGCGGUAAGUCGGGUGUGAAAUCUCGGAGCUUAACUCCGAAACUGCAUUCGAUACUGCCGUGCUCGAGUACUGGAGAGGAGACUGGAAUUUACGGUGUAGCAGUGAAAUGCGUAGAUAUCGUAAGGAAGACCAGUGGCGAAGGCGAGUCUCUGGACAGUUACUGACGCUGAGGCACGAAGGCCAGGGGAGCAAACGGG
rnacentral:rRNA from 1 species